GGAAGAUAUGAUUUACCUUUCUUUUUAUUCUUAAAAUAACAUUCUUUUGUCCGUGUCUUCUUCAUCGCCUUUGUGUUUGUUUUUCGCCGUCUUCUUCAUGCCAUCUUCUUCAGGUAGGUGCGAUUUCAGGUUCAUUCACUACAUAUGAAACUGAUUCCAAGAGGCAUUUUAAGUAUUGUUUUAUGGCAAUUGGAUUGUGUAUUGAGGGGUGAAAAAUAUUGUAGGCCAAACAUAUCAUUUGACAACACCUUUUUAAAAUGUAAAUAUGGUGGAACUCUUUUGACGGUGUCAACAAGUGAUGGUAACAAACAGAUUUUUCCUCUUGCCUUUAGUAUUGUAGACUUCGAGAAUGAUGCAUCAUGGAAAUGGUUUUUUGAGAAUAUAAAGAGAAGUUAGGGGAUCAAGAAGGUUUAGUUAUUAUAUAUGAUCGACAUUUAAGUAUUCUGAAAUGUGUUCAAAACGUUUUUCCAACUGCUGAAUAUUGUGUUUGUUUGCAACACCUUUUCGAGAAGUUUGAAGUUGACAUAUAA